AUUGAACGCUGGCGGCAUGCCUUACACAUGCAAGUCGAACGGCAGCACGGGUGCUUGCACCUGGUGGCGAGUGGCGAACGGGUGAGUAAUACAUCGGAACGUACCUUAUCGUGGGGGAUAACGCAGCGAAAGCUGUGCUAAUACCGCAUACGCCCUGAGGGGGAAAGCGGGGGAUCGAAAGACCUGCGCGAUUAGAGCGGCCGAUGCCUGAUUAGCUUGUUGGUGGGGUAAAAGCCCACCAAGGCGACGAUCAGUAGCUGGUCUGAGAGGACGAUCAGCCACACUGGGACUGAGACACGGCCCAGACUCCUACGGGAGGCAGCAGUGGGGAAUUUUGGACAAUGGGGGAAACCCUGAUCCAGCAAUGCCGCGUGAGUGAAGAAGGCCUUCGGGUUGUAAAGCUCUUUCGUGUCAGGGAAGAAACACGCUCUAACACAGUCCGGGAAUGACGGUACCUGAAGAAUAA
rnacentral:rRNA from 1 species